GGGAACACACUGGGGGAACACACUGGGGGAACACACUGGGGGAACCCCCAGUGUGUUCCCCAGUGUGUUCCCCCAGUGUGUUCCC
rnacentral:pre_miRNA from 1 species